CCUACGGGCGGCAGCAGUGAGGAAUAUUGGUCAAUGGACGAGAGUCUGAACCAGCCAAGUAGCGUGAAGGAUGACUGCCCUAUGGGUUGUAAACUUCUUUUAUAUGGGAAUAAAAUGUUCCACGUGUGGGAUUUUGUAUGUACCAUAUGAAUAAGGAUCGGCUAACGCCGUGCCAGCAGCCGCGGUAAUACGGAGGAUCCGAGCGUUAUCCGGAUUUAUUGGGUUUAAAGGGAGCGUAGGUGGAUUGUUAAGUCAGUUGUGAAAGUUUGCGGCUCAACCGUAAAAUUGCAGUUGAAACUGGCAGUCUUGAGUACAGUAGAGGUGGGCGGAAUUCGUGGUGUAGCGGUGAAAUGCUUAGAUAUCACGAAGAACUCCGAUUGCGAAGGCAGUUCACUGGACUGCAACUGACACUGAGGCUCGAAAGUGUGGGUAUCAAACAGGAUUAGAUACCCCUGUAGUC
rnacentral:rRNA from 1 species